UACUACGAGCAACAGCUUAAAACUCAAAGGACUUGGCGGUGCUCUAUACCCACCUAGAGGAGCCUGUUCUAUAAUCGAUAAUCCCCGAUAAACCUCACCAUCUAUUGCCAAUACAGCCUAUAUACCACCGUCCAGCCCGCCCUUUAAAGGAUAAACAGCAGGCACAAUUAUAGACAUAAAAACGUCAGGUCAAGGUGUAGCACAUAAGAUGGGAAGAAAUGGGCUACAUUUUCUAACCUAGAAAAACACGAAAGAGUUUAUGAAACAAAACUCCAAAGGAGGAUUUAGCAGUAAAAAGAAAAAAGAGCGUUCUUUUUAAGCCGGCAAUGGAGCGCGCACACACCGCCCGUCACCCUCUCCAAACAACAUAAAAAAAUACAUAAACCAUAAAAUAAAAAAGAAGAGGCAAGUCGUAACAUGGUAAGUCUACCGGAAGGUGAACUUGGAACAUCAGCGCAUAGCUUAAUACAAAGCAUCUUGCUUACACCAAGAAUACACCCGUUAAAUCCGAGUUGAGCUGAGUUAUAAUUCUAGCCAACACACUAAGCAUCUAAUAAUAAACAAAACAAACCAUUUAACAAGGUAGUAUAGGCGAUAGAAACUUAACCAUGAGCAAUAGAAAAAGUACUGCAAAGGAAAGAUGAAAUAAAAAUGAAAC
rnacentral:rRNA from 1 species